AUUGAACGCUGGCGGCAGGCCUAACACAUGCAAGUCGAACGAGUGGCGGACGGGUGAGUAAUGUCUGGGAAACUGCCUGAUGGAGGGGGAUAACUACUGGAAACGGUAGCUAAUACCGCAUACCAUCGGAUGUGCCCAGAUGGGAUUAGCUAGUAGGUGGGGUAAAGGCUCACCUAGGCGACGAUCCCUAGCUGGUCGGAGAGGAUGCCCAGCACCACUGGAACGGAUCCACGGUCCAGACUCCUACGGGAGGCAGCAGUGGGGAAUAUUGUACAAUGGGCGCAAUCCUGAUGCAGCCAUGCCGCGUGUAUGAAGAAGGCCUUCGGGUUGUAAAGUACUUUCAGCGAGGAGGCGUUACCCGCAGAAGAAGCACCGGCUAACUCCGUGCCAGCAGCCGCGGUAAUAC
rnacentral:rRNA from 1 species